GUACUGACGAAGUGUCCUAAACUAGGACGAAACAGUUGUCCAGUAC
rnacentral:hammerhead_ribozyme from 1 species